UUUCCUACGGGAGGCAGCAGUGAGGGAUAUUGGUCAAUGGGGGAAACCCUGAACCAGCAACGCCGCGUGAGGGAAGACGGUUUUCGGAUUGUAAACCUCUGUCCUCUGUGAAGAUAAUGACGGUAGCAGAGGAGGAAGCUCCGGCUAACUACGUGCCAGCAGCCGCGGUAAUACGUAGGGAGCAAGCGUUGUCCGGAUUUACUGGGUGUAAAGGGUGCGUAGGCGGCCCUGCGAGUCAGAAGUGAAAUCCAUGGGCUUAACCCGUGAACUGCUUUUGAAACUGUAGGGCUUGGGUGAAGUAGAGG
rnacentral:rRNA from 1 species